GUUCCUAGAUGGAAUCCCAGCGCUGUCAGGGGAGUGGAGAGAGCCACAGGCCACAAGCGCAAAGCAAAAACAAUAAGUCUGAGCCUCCCGUGGAAAUCACAGACCACCUUUCAAGACAGAAAAGGAGGCAUCCUGCUCAGUGUGAUGUCUUGAGAACUAUUCAGAGGUGAAUGUUCAAACGUUCUGUCAAUUCCAAUGAGGAACGAAGAAUAACUUUCCACAAGGUUGCCAAGGAACACCAGAUACCUGAGGAAGGCUUUUAACAUGGAAGAUAACAACCAAAACACAAAGACAAAAACAAAAACAAAAGCAGCUACUUGGAAGAAACAAUUCAAUAAGAAGAAAAAAACUAACAAAUAGUCAGAUAAGAGAAGACAUUGCAUGUAUGAAACAAGAACAGAACGGAAUAAAAAAGAAAAAUUCAGAGAACAAAACGUGCUUGUGGAAAUUAAACACGGGAGAAAUGAAAAACUAAAUAAAGGGUUGGAAGAUUAUGUUGAAGUUAUUUUUAAGACAAGAGAAGAAAAAGACCAACAAAUAGGAAAUUGAACAUGCAAGAUAAGAAAAGUAGAAAACCAACCUAGAAAGUCUAAAAUAUGAAUAAUAGAGACUCUAGAAGGAGAGAAUGGAAAAAUAAUGGGUGAAAUCAUUAACAAAAUAAUUUGAGAAGAAUCCUUCCAGAACUGAAACACAUGAGUUGCCAGAGUGGAAGGCUCCAGUGAAAGUCCAAAAAGGUUGAUCAAAAUAUAUCCAUACCCAGCCUCAUGGUUGUGAAAUAUCAGAACACUAAGGAUAAAAAGAAGAUUUCACAAACUUCCAGAUUAAAAAAACAAGUCAUAUACAAAAGAUCAGGAAUCAAAAUGAUUUGGAUAUAUCUCAACAAAAACACUGGAAACAAGCAGGCAAAACUCUGAAAAGAUAAUAUUUCCAACAUAGAAUUGUAUAACCAAGUAAACUACCAUAUUAAUAUGAGAAUAAAAUAAAGACAUUUUCAUAUAUGCAAGUCCUCAAAAUAUGUACCUUUCACAUACCCUUUAUUAAGAAGCUAGAGGGGGAUGUGCUCUAAAUAAGUGAACAAACCAAAAAAGGAAUACAGG
rnacentral:lncRNA from 1 species